GACAGAGGAUGCAAGCGUUAUCCGGAAUGAUUGGGCGUAAAGCGUCUGUAGGUGGCUUUUUAAGUCCGCCGUCAAAUCCCAGGGCUCAACCCUGGACAGGCGGUGGAAACUACCAAGCUGGAGUACGGUAGGGGUAGAGGGAAUUUCCAGUGGAGCGGUGAAAUGCGUAGAUAUUGGAAAGACCACCGAUGGCGAAGGCACUCUACUGGGCCACUACUGACACUGAGAGACGAAAGCUAGGGGAGCAAAUGGG
rnacentral:rRNA from 1 species